rnacentral:rRNA from 1 species
GUUCAGGCCAGCAUCAGUUUUCCCCGGGGGAUAAAGGCGGCGGGAAUGUGGCUCUCUUCGGGGAGUGUUAUAGCCCUCGGUGCAAUGCCGCCUACUGGGACCGAGGACCGCGCUUCGGCUAGGAUGCUGGCGUAAUGGU